rnacentral:rRNA from 1 species
CUGGCUCAGAUUGAACGCUGGCGGCAUGCCUUACACAUGCAAGUCGAACGGUAACAGGGAGCUUGCUCCGCUGACGAGUGGCGAACGGGUGAGUAAUAUAUCGGAACGUACCUUUGAGUGGGGGAUAACUAGUCGAAAGAUUAGCUAAUACCGCAUACGAUCUACGGAUGAAAGCGGGGGAUCGCAAGACCUCGUGCUCAUAGAGCGGCCGAUAUCUGAUUAGCUAGUUGGUGAGGUAAAGGCUCACCAAGGCUUCGAUCAGUAGCUGGUCUGAGAGGACGACCAGCCACACUGGGACUGAGACACGGCCCAGACUCCUACGGGAGGCAGCAGUGGGGAAUUUUGGACAAUGGGGGCAACCCUGAUCCAGCAAUGCCGCGUGAGUGAAGAAGGCCUUCGGGUUGUAAAGCUCUUUUGUCAGGGAAGAAACGGGGGAUCCUAAUACGGUCCCCUAAUGACGGUACCUGAG